UUCCUUCCCAAUAAGGUGCUGGCUUGGAAACUAAGGAAGAAAAAUAGAGGAUGUUUUAUAACACUGAGAAAACUGAUGGGACGACAGGAGGAGAGCUUUAGGAAAUUACUGAAAAUCAAGGGUUCUAAACCUUUGGACCUCUUUAGCAGUCUGGUGAAGCUUACAUACUUCUCAGAAUAGUGUUAUUGGAUAUAUAAAAUCAAAUAUACAGAAUUACAAAGCAGAAAAAUUAUAUUAAAAUGAAAUGAUCAAAAUUUGACAACAGACCCAUAUUGGUGAUGUGGUAAUACAUGUUCCCUUAUAUUGAGACUUUAAAAAUGCAAGAUCUAGCAGUGAUCUAAUUAACUACCAAAAAUAGUGAAGAGUGUAAAUGUUUCAGGAUACCUGUAACAACCAACAACCAGAAUAUGGCAUGAAAAUACCUGGGGGUCUAUUGACAACAGGUCCAAGCAAGUCCUGCUGAAGCUAAUGUGGUUUGUUGCUGAUGUUUAUAAUGGAAAGUAAUGCUCAAUUUCAGUUGGAGGUUAUUGACAAUGCUUUUAAUUCUAUUCAUGCUCACAGGAACCCCCUCCCCUACAUCCCAUCCCUGCACUACCCUCUACUGGAUCCUUCACUAUAGCCCCUCCAAGUUGAAUAACUUAAUAUAUUUCAGAUAAUUAGGUAUGCCUUUCCCUAAUGGCAGUCUUUCAGGUGUACUGAUUUAAACAUUUGGCCAGUUUCUCACAUACUCACGGAGGACCUGUAGCCACACUCAAAGAGUAGGAAAUGUACAAAUACAUCAGGCCGGAAGUGCACAAUCCCAGACCAUGGGAUUCUUUUCCUAGAGGGCUUUGAAAGAAAAGACCCCCCUGAACAGGUUUCAAGUGACCUAAUGCAAAUUGAAUAGUUGGUGCUGCUCUCUUGUAAGGGCAUGCUGCAAUUCUAGCCAACAUGCUUUGAGAAUAUACCUUCUGUUACAUUCAGAUAACACUUGAACUUUCAGAACCAUUACACAUAUGGAAGUCAAUCCUUGCUUCCAAGUCUGACUAUGGUUCCUAGAAAGUAAGGCUCAUAAUAGCCAGCAUUUACUAUAUUUGGUAUAAUAGCCAGCAUUUUUGGUCACUCUGAAAAGAGACAUAAACUUAAGAUGAAUUUCUCUGUGAAGUGAAUAUAUAGCAUGUGAUUACUUGUCUUGAGUCAGCAGCCUACCUCAUAUAAAUAUCCUGAUCUGAUUAGGUAAGGUCAAGGGGGGGGGAAUUAAGUUAGUAGAAGGGUACUGAACUAUACAUGCUUUGUAUACAUUACUGAAAAUGUUACUCAAUGGGGUUGGUUAACAGGAUAUGUUAAGUAAAUUUGUGGUAGGAAUAAUAAAUGACCUGUUAUUCCUUAAUGAUGCUAGCAUAUGAGGACAACCAAGUCUGAGAAAUAAAUUUUGUUCUCAAAAUUCUGAGUUUGACAAUUUUGGGUUCUUAAGAAUUACAAAGUUAAUUCAAAGAAAAAAAACCUGUCAUCAAUUUGUGGAGCAAAAAAAGAAUGCAGUUAACUUUGCUACGAUCUAUAAAUAGAAUCCCCAAAGCAACCCCUUGUGUGUAUUGAAAUCUUGAAUAUAAAUCAUGCAACAGAUUCCGGCAAAUGCAAAGCAGUAUAAAGGAUAUUUAAACCUCCUCUUCCCAUAACCCCAUUAAUUUAACUACUGUUAACGUUCUGAUGUCUUUCCUUUAAACACAAAUUUGGAUCUUGUUGCAGCCCUUUAAAAAAAAAAAACCAACAGUAAAUCAUUUGCAGUUUUCAUGUCACUAAAAAUUAUUUUAAAGUAUGACCUUAAUAAUAUUCCACUUUAUGAAUAAAAGUCCUCGUAUCUUUAAUUCUAGAUGAACCUACACGACACAGAGAUGUAGCAAAUAUCUAACAUGUGAAGACGUUGUCUGGUCAAGGGAAAUCUAUUACCACUGGUUUUUGCUUUUAUGAGCAGACUUGGAUGGGAUUUGUUUCUUAUGGGAAAUAUGCAAUGCCUGACACAGUUCAAAAGAUCUUCCCAGGUAAGUGAAACAAACGACACUUUGAAAUACUGUGAUUUUAAAAGCGCAAGACUGGGACUCAAAGAUUCUCCCCUGCUGGCCUUG